rnacentral:rRNA from 1 species
GUGGGGAAUAUUGCACAAUGGGCGGAAGCCUGAUGCAGCGACGCCGCGUGGGGGAUGACGGCCUUCGGGUUGUAAACUCCUUUCACCAUCGACGAAGGGUUUCUGACGGUAGAUGGAGAAGAAGCACCGGCUAACUACGUGCCAGCAGCCGCGGUAAUACGUAGGGUGCGAGCGUUGUCCGGAAUUACUGGGCGUAAAGAGCUCGUAGGUGGUUUGUCGCGUCGUCUGUGAAAUUCCGGGGCUUAACUCCGGGCGUGCAGGCGAUACGGGCAUAACUUGAGUACUGUAGGGGAGACUGGAAUUCCUGGUGUAGCGGUGAAAUGCGCAGAUAUCAGGAGGAACACCGGUGGCGAAGGCGGGUCUCUGGGCAGUAACUGACGCUGAGGAGCGAAAGCAUGGGGAGCGAACAGGAUUAGAAACCCUAGUAGUCC